GUUAAUAGUUGUAUAGAGACUGUUUUCUUUGACAAUAUCUCAAUUGUUUGUUUGAUUCCAUGGAUGUGAUAUUUUAUACAUAAACUUGGCUUUUAUUGUUGCACCAGACUUUGCCAAAUGAUGUUGAACUCUAUGUAGUGUCUGCUUUUUUACGGAAUUGUACCCAUUUUAUGCAGUUGCUAUCUUUAUUGUCUGUUGUAUGUAAGAGUAUGUCCUUGACACAAUGUCAUUUAUUCACUUCAAUGGAAAAUUAUUGAAAAUCGAUAUUGAACUUUUAACCAGUUUCGAUAUAAUGCUUUGUGUUUUAUGAACAAGAGGUAAAAAAGCAGAUUUAGAUUAAAAAAAUAUUUAGAAAAACAUUCUACAAUGAAAUUAGAUAUAUUGUGAAUGUAUUGUUGAAAAUACAUCUAGAGAAUAUUUUUAAAUGUUUAGAAUUACAAAUAUAUGUCUAAAACACCAUUCGAUUGAAUCAGUUUGAUGACAAUAUAAUAUUUGACAUAACGAGUGCUUGGGAACGGAUAUAACUGUGAACAUUUUCAGUCUAUAAAUAUGCACAAUACUGAGUUCUAUACAAGGAAGAGUCGUGUAUGAUCAUUAUAACAUCGGCUUUUUUAUUUGCAAAUUUCUGUAAAUAAAUUUAUUACACAG
rnacentral:sRNA from 1 species